rnacentral:rRNA from 1 species
GACGAACGCUGGCGGCGUGCUUAACACAUGCAAGUCGAACGGAAAGGCCUAGCUUGCUGGGUACUCGAGUGGCGAACGGGUGAGUAACACGUGGGUGAUCUGCCCCUGACUUUGGGAUAAGCCUGGGAAACUGGGUCUAAUACCGGAUAUUCAUUUUUCCUCUCAUGGGGAUUUGUGGAAAGCUUUUGCGGUUGGGGAUGGGCCCGCGGCCUAUCAGCUUGUUGGUGGGGUAAUGGCCUACCAAGGCGACGACGGGUAGCCGACCUGAGAGGGUGAUCGGCCACACUGGGACUGAGACACGGCCCAGACUCCUACGGGAGGCAGCAGUGGGGAAUAUUGCACAAUGGGCGCAAGCCUGAUGCAGCGACGCCGCGUGAGGGAUGACGGCCUUCGGGUUGUAAACCUCUUUCAGCUCCGACGAAGCGCAAGUGACGGUAGGGGCAGAAGAAGCACCGGCCAACUACGUG